rnacentral:rRNA from 1 species
UACGUAGGGGGCAAGCGUUGUCCGGAAUCAUUGGGCGUAAAGAGCGUGUAGGCGGCUCGAUAAGUCUGCUGUGAAAGUCCAGGGCUCAACCCUGGAAGGCCGGUGGAAACUGUCGGGCUAGAGUCCGGAAGAGGCGAGUGGAAUUCCCGGUGUAGCGGUGAAAUGCGCAGAUAUCAGGAGGAACACCAAUGGCGAAGGCAGCACUCUGGGACGGUACUGACGCUGAGACGCGAAAGCGUGGGAGCAAACAGG